UGUCUAACCACUUGGGGUUUCUCACUGGGCUUGUGGGAUGAUUUCGGAGGUGGCAGGUGGAGGGGUGUCUGCAGGUCCAGAAUGUUCCACCCUGCUGCUCAGGGACCAUGUCAGCCCAUCUCUCCCACUCUCUCUCCACCACCUUCCUCUCUCUUUUCCAGGCCAUAGGCCCCAUGCUAGUCCCAGAGAUUUCCACCCCCCAAGACAGAGAAGGGAGCCCACAUUUCCUCUAUCCUACCACGUGCCAGCAGCCUGCUUUACCCGUGCACAGUCUCUCAGGCAGAGCCCGGCAUGGGCAAUUACCCACCUAUCUCUGGGACCUCCCCACCCAUCUACUGCCUACCUGCUGUGUGACCGAGCAAAUUCACUACCCUCUCUGGUCUCUGCAUUUACUUUCUGUAAAGGUGGCUCUCAGGUGACCAAGAGGGUGCAGGGCACAGUGACGGAUGUGCUUUGGAGCAGUCGGCUAUUGCUGCAUAACACAGCAUCCCAAAACAGUGGUUUACAGCCCCAGUAAUUAACCUACUCAUGAUUCUGCACUUUGGGCUGGGCUCAGCUGGGUGGUUCUGCUGCUGUCCCUGGGGCUCACCCAUGUGGUGCUCAUGGGAGCUCAGCUGCACCUGCAUAGUCAGGGGGUCCCUUGGCCAGGACUGUUGGCAGCAGGGGUCAGAUUUUCCUCAUGGCCUCUCCAGCAGGCCAGCCCGGGUUUCUCCUGGUGGCUGGGAGCCAGGAGAGCGGCUCCCAUGCAGAGUGCUGGUUUCACAUUUGUGGGUGGCCCAUCCGUUGAGGCCAGUCACGUGGCCAGGCCCAGGACCAGAUGGGAGAGGACCGCACAAGUGCAGCGUGAGCUGUGGGAGGUGUGGCUGACCACGCUUAGAGAGUGUGGUGCCAGGAAAGAUCUGAUGUGUCACCAUUCUAUAUCUGUGAUGGGCAGACGCAGGCAGGUCAAAGGGGCCCUGGGGACUUACCGAGCCCCUGCCUAUUGGCCAGGCACUGUGAUUGUCCUCGGUGCCAUGUGCCAUGGAAGCCCUCUCAGAGGUCGAGGGGAGGCAGGUGGAGACAGAGCCUCUGUAGGCCUUUCAAGCUGUAGCCCCAGAGCCCAGAGGCAGCCGAAUUCAUGUGUGCAGUCAGAGAGCACUUAGUGGGCACUGUAGUCAAUCAGUGAGCGCUUACUGGACACCACAGGCAGCAAGCAUUUACUGAGUACCUCUGGCAGUUGAUGCAUACUUCCUGAGUACCUGUUCAUAGCAGGCUUAGCUCUGGAUGUGGGGUGGUGAGGAAUCCCACAGGCUGAGGGGUGGCCUGGGAGCUUUCCAGGGGGCCUGAAGCAGGAGGGGCUGCCUGAGUGGGUCAGCAGCCCAGCCCAGUGCCCUACGCAGCCCUGCCCACACCCCCAACCCAGCCUCUGUCUCCCCAGUCCCAUCCCCCACACCCUGGUCCCUCCUACUUUGUGCCUCGAGGACACUGCCCCGCUGCCCUCCUCACUUCCCAGCGUCUGCUGUCCCCUCCGCUGCUGCUGCCCGGCAGGAUUGCUCUGUGUCUCAUCCACGUUUGUCCCUGCAGAGUUCCUCGCCUCUCCCUGGAACCGCCAGCCUCAUGCCGCAUCUCAGAGGCUUUUUUUUUCUCUCUUUUUUUUUUUUUUGAGAUGGAGUCUCACUCUGUCACCCAGGCUAGAGUGCGGUGGUGCGAUCUCGGUUCAGUGUAACCUCUGCCUGUCAGGUUCAAGCGAUUAUCCCGCUUCAGCCUCCCGAGUAGGUGGGACUACAGGUGCCUGCCACCUCGCCCGGCUAAUUUUUGUAUUUUUAGUAGAGAUGGAAUUUCAGCAUGUUGGUCAGUCAGGUCUCGAACUCCCGACCUCAGGUGAUCUGCCCGCCUCGGCCUCCCAAAGUCCUGGGAUUAUAGGCAUGAGCCACUGCGCCCGGCCUCAGAGGCUUUCAUUCCCACUUUUCCCCCAAAACUGCGCCUCUUUGGGGUCAUCAGUGACCUUCGCAGGGUCAAGUCAUCCCCCUCUCCUGUCCCAGGACCUUAAGCACUGCCCUGUUUUACAGAAGAGGAAACUGAGGCCCCGAGAGGUAAGGCAGCCAGCUCAGGGUCAUCGCCCACGCCCAGAAAUGCCAGGAUUCCCACCCGGACCUCUGACCACCAAGCUCCACCUUAGUCUGGCCCGGGGUCAUCCCUCAGGUGCUGCCUCAUGCCUUGGGUCUGUCUCUCAGACCACCCUGGCCCUUGCCCCUGCUCCCCAGCCUGACUGAAGCUGGGCCAGGCAGAGACUGAAGACUGAACGAGUGUGGCCAGCAUUCCUCCUGCACCUGCCCGGAGCCUCCAGGCCCAGCCGUCCAUGUUCCCAGAAGUCCAGAAGUGGCUUUGCUGCUCCUGGACUCUCACUGGCCCCCCAUCGACCCUUGGACCAAUAACUGCCAUCAAAAUAAUCCUGAUUAUGCACCUAUCAAGUCCCUGGCCCUGGGCUAAAGUCUUCACAGGGGUCAUCUCAUUUCAUCCUCAGCCCCAAAAGGCAGGUCUCACCCCCAAAUACAUAUGGACAAAAAGAGGCUCUGCCGGGUGUGAUGGCGGGCACCUGUAAUCCCAGCUACUCAGGAGGUUGAGGCAUGAGAAUCGCUUGAACCCAGGAGGCAGAGGUUCCAGUGAGCCAAGAUGGCGCCACUGCACUCCAGCCUGCGCGACAGAGCGAGACUUCGCACCCGCCGCCCCCCAACCAAAAAAAAAAAGGGCACAGUCAGAGAAGAGCAGAGCCCGGCUUGGUUUGGUCCCAGCCCUGCCUGCCUCUGAUGUGCUGUGUGACAUAGGCCUGGUGCUGGCCCUCUCUGGGUCUCCCUUUCUUUCUUCCUUUCUUUUCUUUUCUUUUCUUUUCUUUUCUUUUCUUUUCUUUUCUUUUCUUUUCUUUUCUCUUCCUUCCUUCCUUCCUUCCUUCCUUCCUUCCUUCCUUCCUUCCUUCCUUCCUUCUUUCUUUCUUUCUUUUGACAGGAUCUGGCUGUCAUCCAGGCUGGAGUGCAGUGGCACGAUCUCGGCUCACUGCAACCUCUGCCUCCUGGGCUCAAGUGAUCCUCCUGUCUCAGCCUCCCAAGUAGCUGGGACUACAGGCGCACACCACUACCCCCAGCUAAUUUUUUGUAUUUUUUGUAGAGACGGGGUUUCACCAUGUUGGCUAGGCUGGUCUCAAACUCCUGAGCUCGUGAUCCUCCCGCCUCAGCCUCCCAAAGUGCUGGGAUUAUAGGUGUGAGCCACCGCACCCAGCCUUGGUUCUCCCUUUCUUCAUCUGGAUAAGGAAGGCUGGACUGCACCUUCUCUACAGGCUGAGUUGGACAUUCGCAGAUCUACCCUCCCAACCUGCAUUCUGCCUCAAGCAGCAACGCCCACCCCAGGCUCAGGCCACAUGGAGAAGCCACCCCUAGUUCCAGUGGUGGAUGUGGCACCUCGGCCUGGCCAAUCAGAGCUCCCUUGUCCUAGGUUCCUAGUGAUUGGUUUGAGAUGGACACGUGACCCAAUGAGCGACCUUUCCUGGGAGUUCUACCAGGAGCAUCAGGAAGGUUGAGCUGGGUGUAUGGGAACCAGGCCGGGGCGAGGGGUUCCGGGGGGACCUGAGAACAUUGUGUGGAGCCCUGGAUCCAACUGUACCUGACACUAGCCAAUUUCAUUUCUUCAGUUUCAUGGACCCCUAAAUUAUGAUUUUUGCCAAAAUG
rnacentral:lncRNA from 1 species